rnacentral:snRNA from 1 species
GGAUGUAAGGGGUGAUAUGACUGUGACAUAUGUCACCCCAUUGAUUGCCAGGGUUGAUUUGGCUGAUCUGGCUGGCUACAUGGGUGUCUCGUGCUUACUUAACUGCUCCAUGUGUGUUCCUCCUGAAGCAGGACUCUCAGUUGAAGAGGACAACCUUCCCUGAAUAAAGGAAGACCAGUCUUCCGUCAAGGGUAUAUGAGUAGCUGCACUCCUCUGCUAGAACUUUCAAGCAAUGGCCUUAUGAGAAUGUGAUUUGUUACAGCAAUGGGAUAAUCAGGUUGACAUUCCCUUAAUCUCAGAAACAUUAAUGUAUGUUUCU